UACUAUAUUCCGCCAAUUCCGAAAAAAUUAUCGCGAAUUGGAAAAUCUAUAAUUUCACGUGGAAAACUAGUGAACAAAUAUCGAAACAAACUACGCGCUUUGAAACUUAUUCAUGAGUAUAAAUCAUCAGUAGACGAUCUAUCCGAUCAUAGAACCGACAAUUCGGACUCAUUCUCUGAUGAAGAAGUUAUUCUCGAAGCUAAAGCAUGGUUGCAAAGUCAUUCAAUGCCAUAGGAAAUUGUUGGUAAAAAUUGGAAACUUACGGCUAAAUAUCGACGAAAAAGUAUAAAAUCAAACCGUGAUUUAAAAUUGUGUCAAAUUUUUGAAAGUUGGCCCGUUCUCAAACAUCCCAAUGCAUAUACAUUAAUUGAAGAAGAUUAUUCUUAUCUAAAAUUGCCAACGCAAGAAUUAACAUUAGAAAGUUGGGAAAAGUUUUUUGCAAAAAUUUUAGCUGUUCGAUCACCGAAGAAAGACGAUAACAAUGCGCAAGCUUUGCUAACGCUGAUUCAAAGCGACAAUUUGACAGAUAAUACAAAAAUUAUUUUGCAACUGAGACUUCUUCCACAUUUACUUCUACCUAAAAGCCGAACCCGUCUGAAAAAAAGUNAAUGGAAACCAUCGAUACCUGAAUGUAA